rnacentral:rRNA from 1 species
AUUGAACGCUGGCGGCAGGCCUAACACAUGCAAGUCGAACGAGUGGCGGACGGGUGAGUAAUGUCUGGGAAACUGCCUGAUGGAGGGGGAUAACUACUGGAAACGGUAGCUAAUACCGCAUACCAUCGGAUGUGCCCAGAUGGGAUUAGCUAGUAGGUGGGGGAAAGGCUCAUCUAGGCGACGGUCCCUAGCUGGUCUGAGAGGAUGACCAGCCACCCUGGAACUGAGACACGGUCCAGACUCCUACGGGAGGCAGCAGUGGGGAAGAUGGCCCAAUGGGCGCAAGCCUGAUGCAUCCAUGCCGCGUCUAUGAAGAAGUCCUUCGGGUUGUAAAGUACUUUCAGCGGGGAGGCGUUACCCGCAGAAGAAGCACCGGCUAACUCCGUGCCAGCAGCCGCGGUAAUUC